GGAUAAUAUACAUCCCUGUCUGGUAGGGUUGUGUGAAGACUUUGAUAGGUGUAAAGUGCUUAGACUAUUACCUGGUACAUAGUAUGUGCUCAAUAAAUGCUGGCUGUUAUAAUUAUUAUUAUUGCUGCUGCUGCUGCUCUCAUUAUCAUGUCUGUAUCCUCCGAAUCCAGCACAGGCUUGGCCCAGGACAGGCGUGCACUGUGAACUCGAUUAGCAAGCUUAUGCCUUCCUAGCAAGGACCUUCAGCUGUUCAUCCCAAAAUAGCCUCUGGGUGGAGUUUGUAGAUACUAGAGCCAGGGACCCUUACAUCUUGCCAGUUACCCCUGCCUCCCCAGAGUUGGGCUUUAGGUUUUUCUCCUCUCUCCCUCCCUUCCUCUCUACUUCUCUCCUUUCUUCCCAUUGGCAUCCUUGUAGGUGUCUCUGAUUCCAUCUUUGGGCUUAGUUUCUAGCAGAGAAAUGGAUCAUUAAAAAAUAAAUAAACUGAAUGCUAACUGCCCUUAGGAAGCCCAGGAAGGCCUGAGUGGUGCUGGGGCUCCUUAACUUCCUGGACUGCAGUGCUGAGGAUGCUUGCCUGUCUACCACCUCAGCAGAGCUUUCCGCCUUUGCAUAAAAGCCGGCACCAUCCUGCCCCGUCCGUCCCCCAGGCUGCCCAUGCCCUGGCAGCUGUGCAAAGCUCCACACACACCAUGUUCAGUUCAGUCCUUCCAGCCGAGCUGAGCCUCAGGUAUUGUUAUUAUUCUCCUCAUUUUCCAUGAGGAGAAGCUGAACCUCGGUGAGGUAAAUGAAGAUUCCUGGGCCUCCCCGGCUUUGAAGUGACAGGAGAAGGGCGUAGACCCAGAGUCUCAGCCACGUGGCACACCACCAGGACCAAGCCUCAGACUUCUCUCCACCUAGGCUGAUGCCUGGCACACUGUAUUCACUCCACAAAUGCUUGCUGAAUGAACUGAGAGAAAAACUCCCUUUCACAGAAUGGAUUGGAAAAACUGAGGCUUAGGAGUCAGAUGGGUAGAGGGUAGGGGAGCACCCCUAGCAGCCCCUGUGCCCUCUCACCCUGGUUGCUACCAUUUCUUGUCUCUGACUGUUGUGGAGGAGGAAGUUCCCUUAUUCUAAAGGUCUCCCCCAGGCCAUGCUACCUCCUCACUCCCCCCAUUGACCCGGAAGUCCUUCCAGCUGCCCUCGUGGAAGACACACAUCCUGCUUAAAGCUGCUCUGACAUGACAGGCUCGUGCUGAUUUCCGUCCUGUUGAAAGACUGUAAUGAAGUGGAAAGAACCCAACCUCCCAAGGUCCUACAAACCUAGAUCUACACCCAGCUUUUGGCCAUGAUUAGCUGUGUAAACAUGAGCGAGUGAUUUCAUCUCAGUUUGUCUGUGUGUAAAAAGAUGGUGACCAUACCUCCUGAAGAGAGCUGACAUGGGUUUACAGACAGAGAGGCAUCGAGCAGCAUGGGGCACCAAGCCGGUGAUCAAGGAGAUGCCAUUCUCUAGGAACCUCUGCCAGGCUUCGGGACUGAGGCAUAGGAUUUGGACAUGAAGGGGUUGGAACUGGGUUGGGGUUUCUGUGGUCCCUGAUCAUGAGGAUGGUUGGAUCCAUCUCUUCUGGGCAAUGCGACAGAAGGGCCCCCUCCCACACACAGCUCUGUAAGGUGACUUUGACUCUGCUGGUUUGCCCAGGGCAUGAUUUACUUGGGUAAUACACCCAGAAUUCAACCAUGAAUCAUAUGAUUCUCAUCUCUUUCUUUUGCAUUGAUCCCCCU
rnacentral:lncRNA from 13 species